CAGUCGCCGCGGUAAUACGUAGGGUGCAAGCGUUAAUCGGAAUUACUGGGCGUAAAGCGAGCGCAGACGGUUAUUUAAGCAGGAUGUGAAAUCCCCGGGCUUAACCUGGGAACUGCGUUCUGAACUGGAUAGCUAGAGUGUGUCAGAGGGGGGUAGAAUUCCACGUGUAGCAGUGAAAUGCGUAGAGAUGUGGAGGAAUACCGAUGGCGAAGGCAGCCCCCUGGGAUAACACUGACGUUCAUGCUCGAAAGCGUGGGUAGCAAACAGGAUUAGAUACCCGCGUAGUCCCUGUCUCUUAUAC
rnacentral:rRNA from 1 species